rnacentral:rRNA from 1 species
UACGUAGGCAGCGAGCGUUGUUCGGAGUUACUGGGCGUAAAGAGUGCGUAGGCGGUGUUCCAAGUCUGUUGUGAAAUCUCCCGGCUUAACUGGAAAAUUGCAUCGGAAACUGAUCGGCUGGAAGGUGGGAGAGGGUAGCGGAAUUCCCGGUGUAGUGGUGAAAUGCGUAGAUAUCGGGAGGAACACCAGUGGCGAAAGCGGCUACCUGGCCCAUUCUUGACGCUGAGGCGCGAAAGCUAGGGGAGCAAACGGG